GAGGCAGGCAGAAAGGCAGUUGGGAGUCUCUAAUGGUGGUUGCCCCCUCUCUCUUCCUAUGACUUUCUGUUCCAUUUUGUAAACUAAACCACCAUUCAUCUUAAGCAACUGUUUGGUUAAUGUCUGAGUACAUUUACAUACCAAGUACCCGCGCAGCAUGCUGGCUUCCCCCCAAUGCAUGCCCGCCUCCAGCCUUGCAGCAAGCACCUUGAGAUCUGUACCAUUGGGAAUACUAUUCUAUUACCGUGCAAUUUUAUCUGUAGGAAGAAGGGUUUAGGGUUAAAGAUCAUACCCAUUCUUCUCAAAGGAUGAGAGGCUGUGAUGAUUGAGGUUGUCUAGAGUUCUGUCGGGGCAAUGGAGCGGCCCGUAUCUUGGCAUGGCGACCCGACCCGGAAGGCCUAUUUUAUAGUGUAAUCGAGGUUUGCAGCCAUGGCGGUUGCUUUGUCUCCUUUACCCUGAUCAUAUCACGGAUCCGAGCCUCAAAAGAAAAGGUAAAGAAGACCCGCCAGUAAAAAGGGUUUUUCAAAAUUUUCUUAAAAUAAAGAAUGCCACUUAUGUUCAAUCACUUCAACAUUCCUUUAAUGACGUUACAUUUUGUUUCGCUUUACUUUUCAGAAUUCUUCUGUUUAGAGAUUUCCGUAGAGAUGGAGUCAUUAUAGUUUCAAAUAUACAAUACCUUUCUUUUUUCAGUCAUUUUGAUGAUUACAUAAUAAACGAUUUUAUUUUUUUAAAUAAAGGUAUUUGCAUGAAGGAAGUUUUUUAUUAAGUUAAAGUUCCCAUUGAAUUAUUGGACUGAAACAGUGAAUUAUUGGACAUUCGACAUUUUAGGUUAUGGAGGAACUGGAAACUAGAGAUAGAAGAACCAGGGGAUAUUUUCGUUGACGUACUAAUGUUGUUAACAAGAAAAUAUAAUGUUCAUAAAAUUCUAGAAUCUGGGGUAUUCUUUUUUCUUUUGGUUAUGAACAUAUUGAGAUAUGAUCAAUUUUAUACAAGUACAGGAAUAUUAAAAUUGUUGCCACACUUUUUAACCCCUCACCCUUUCAUUUUACGUACAGGUGCUGUACUCUUAUUCUGCUGCAUGUCAUGUUGAUACUGCUGUGGCUAUUCACACUUCACAGUAUGCUGUGUCCUCCUUACUUCUGGUUUCUUGGUCAUUAAUUUUUUCCUUUCAUAAAUCAGAAUCAUUCUGAGCAUCAUUGAUGAUGCUUAUAUGUAGGCUAUGAUGAUAUAACUUUUUGAGUUAAUCGGAUUUUGGGCAAUUGAGCCCGUUUCUUGGCGGGGCAAACCAAGAUGGUUGUAACCAGCGUAAUGAGUAUUGGGACGAAAUAGGUCCUAAUGGAGUUGAUUGGGAUUCAUUUAGCUCACCCAACUAGAUUGUUAUUGGGGUUGUUGCUGUUGUUGUUGUUUUAUGCUAUUCUGGUUUGCAGCCAUGGCGGUGUCCCUUACCCGAUUUUAUGACAGAUCUGAGCCUACUUCUUAUGUCCUCAACCAAGAAUAAGUAAAACGCUCAAGAUUAUGAAUGAGGCAGCAUAGCAACGGGCAGUUUUUAAAUGGUUGCCUCCCAUCUGCAUGCCAAUGAUUUCUCAGUGUCUGGUACUGUCAAAGAAAGAGCCGAUCUUUAAUGCCCUGUUGAUGCUAUCAUGCUCAUCGACAGUCUGGUCUGCUUUAUUGGUCAUAUUCCUUUCCCUUUUAAAAUCUCAAUCGUAAGAGCAAUGUUUGCCACUAAAAUUUUCUCUGAAGUUUGGACUGUUGACAACACAAAAAAUCAGCAUAGAAAAAAGUACAAAUUAAGAACCAGAAGAGAUGAAAAAUAAAUUUAAACAAAUUUAGAUGGAGUGUUGAAUGACUAAAUUGCACUGAUAUCGUGUCUUCUUUUAGUCUCGUACUAUUUGCUAUACCUAUAUGGCCUGAUUGAGAUCUUCUCUCUCGCAUCAACCAAUUUUGUGUAGCCUGAAUCCCAAAUUUGUUGGCAGUGGUAUCCACUCUGCUUUUUUUAGGUAUUUUUUCAUUCAAAUAGUAAAUAAUGUCUUGCAACACAAAAUUAUAUAAUAAGAAAUAAGCUUAUAGAAAAAGUAUUCCAUAUGAUAAGAAAUAAUCUAUUUCAUAAAAGUUAAGUACUAGAUUAGUUAUUUCAAAUGACCUUUGAGAUUAUGCCUUUAUAACCUCACCCUUUCGUCUGCACUUAGCCUAUCUUUUUGUAUUUACAAACAUGAGAUUUUUUAUUCUUUUUUUUAUUUUUAUUUUAGCACGUAAGACAAGAGGGGUUGCUUUGAUGGUAAGCAACCCCCACUUCCAACCGAGAGGUUGUGAGUUCGAGUCUCCCCAAGAGCAAGGUCUCGGUUGUGAGUUCGAGUCUCCCCAAGAGCAAGGUCUCGGUUGUGAGUUCGAGUCUCCCCAAGAGCAAGGUGAGAAGUUCUUGGAGGGAAGGAUGUCGGGGGUCUAUUUGGAAAAAGGCUCUCUACCUCAGGGUAGGGGUAAGGUUUGCGUACAUAUUACCCUCCUCAGAUCCCACUAAGUGGGAUUAUACUGGUUUGUUGUUGUUUAUUUUAGCACGUAAAUAUUUAAUCUAUGUUUAAUACAGUUAUUUCAAUUAAUUUUUGCUCUUUUACGUUAUUUUAUUACAAAUAAAUAAAAAUUAUAAAAAAAUAUUUUAUUUUAUGUACCUUUCAUAAAAUAAAAAAAAUAACAUAAACAGUCACCAUUUUACAUGUUACUUAUGUUCUUGUUCACAAAAGAAAUAGGGUUCCAAAAAUAUUUUUUUAACGGGUCUAUUAUUUCCUUUCAAUUUAAGGAUUUUAAUAAAUGAAUUUUGAAUAGUUAACAUUUUUUAUAUUUCUAUAUUAAUCAAGUAAGAGUAGUAUUUUAUUCUAUUAACUAAAAAAUAAAGAAAGAAGAGAUAAUCAAAAAAUAAAAAAAGAGAACCAAUUCAAAAAACUUGGCAAAGAUUCAUUUUAACAAACUCAUCUGCUCUCAAUUUUUCUUGCAACUACGCGUAGCACAUGCUCUCAGGAAGUUCACAUAUUUUUUUAAUUUUUGAUUCCCUCACCAUGUGAUUCGAUUCUAGCUCAUUAAUUUGAUCCCCAAGAAUGCACUCUUUAUCUUUUUUUCUUUAAUAUAAAUAUACACAAAAGGGGAUUAAAAAUGGACCUACAAUUAAAAAAGGACCUGGAGCUUAUCUUCUUCUCCAAGUGACCUAAGCAGCAGCAGUACCAAAAUGAGAUUACCAUCCACCCUGUUCUUCUUCAUUUUCUUAGCUUAAGAACAUCGAUGUUCUUUCUUCAAUACAAACGUUCUUCUUCUGACGCAGGCUUCUUCAUUUCUUUGUAACGACGCCUGCUGCAGACUCACGACCACCCCCACCCCAAGAAACCAUUGGAGUCGCUGCUACUUCUUUGAAUGCACACAACAGCAGUCGACCUCUUCACUUCCAUCAGCCGAGAAACAACUCCAAAUCAGGAGCUACUGUCAUGGAGUUUGCUGGGUCUAUUUUCUGAUUUAUUCUGAGUUUUUCGGACAAAUCUUUGCCAUCGCGCGCGAAGUCCUUCAAGGGUGAGUCUCUUCAUCAGUUCCUUUGAAGAAUCGAGGUUGCCCGCCCGAGGCUUCCGUUCGUAGUUUAGACGUGUUUGAGCAACAGAUAAUCAAAAGAUUUGAUUUCCUUGUAAGCUCCAUUGUUCUAAUCUCUCUUUGUUUUAUCUUUCAGAUUAUGUUUUGGCUGGAAUAAUAUUUGAGUUUCUUUUAAGUAUAUAAAAUUCUCCUUUUUUUAACGACUUUAAAUGCGUCUUGACGCCCUUUAUUUGUAGCUAAAUUCUCUAUUUCCUGAUUUCUAAAUUACAUGGGUUUAUAUUAGAUCGAUCUCUUGAUUAUAGUUUAUUUGUCUAGAUUGUAGUAACAAUUAUCCGUCAAAGAAUUUGUCAUAGACCAUG
rnacentral:lncRNA from 1 species